rnacentral:rRNA from 1 species
CGGACGGGUGAGUGACGCGUGGGUAACCUGCCCUAUACAGGGGGAUAACAGUUAGAAAUGACUGCUAAUACCGCAUAAGCGCACAGGACCGCAUGGUUCGGUGUGAAAAACUGAGGUGGUAUAGGAUGGACCCGCGUCUGAUUAGCUUGUUGGUGGGGUAACGGCUCACCAAGGCGACGAUCAGUAGCCGGCCUGAGAGGGCGACCGGCCACAUUGGGACUGAGACACGGCCCAAACUCCUACGGGAGGCAGCAG